ensembl:lncRNA
GGGGAUUUUGUUUCUUUUUCUUUUUCUUUUUCUUUUUUUUUUUUGGGCCAGUGAAUUUAAUAGAGUUUAUUGAUCCUGAUGUUUACAUGUAGAUAUGCAUAACACUACUUAGUCCUCUCUUGCAUUAUUACAGAAGCCUUUUCAAUUGACUCUAUAGGAUGAUUUUUCUUGUGCAAGACAAUGUGUUCACUGAGUGGGUGCAUCUGACUGGGCUGGAGCAUUGCCCUGAGUAACCCACUUAAAUCAAAUUCUGGCUGUGUGCUCUGUCUACACCAUACAACAGAGGUAGAACAGAACUGGGGAGGACACACUAAAAUCUUCACAGGCUAAGCCAGCACAUUUAGAAUGCUAAAAAUGGGACUUGCUUCUGGAGGCAAACAGAUUUCAAAAUAUGAAAAUUCUCUGAGAGAGAAUACUUCCUUUUUCCACAUGGCUCUAUUGCCAAGGCAACCUGGCCACAAAGAGUACUUCAAAGAGAUUGUAUGGUGCUGUUUAUUUGAAAUAAAAGCACAAUCAAUAAGGAUAUCUAAGCAGGAAGUGGUGAGAAUGUAUUGCUUUAUGGAAAAGCAAUUUUUGUUUUGAUACAUUGAGAAACAAAUGUAAAAGAAAAACCCUCAGGGUUGACUUAACGAAAUCUCUUAAUGUCUGUGAGAUCAUUAGACUCAAUUAAGUGUUUGACUGGCAGUUACACUUAGCCCUUAAGAGAUGAACAGAUCAUGUUAACAUACUGGACUACAAAUACGGGUGAAGUUACCUCAUAUCGCUACUGCAGAGCUUCCAGACAACAGGAAAGGAUUCAAAGACUCGUUUUACUUUAAAAAGCAUAUUCCAACAACCAGCAGAAAAAAAUGCUGAUGGAAAAUUUGUGACUUGGGGAAAAGACACCGAAUUCUGCAAAGCUUCCUGCAGGGAGCAGGGCCCAAGGGAAUAAGAUUGCUCAUCUGGUUUGUUCACUCUAGGCAGAUCAGCACAUGUGUGUCUCAUGACACUUGGUGUGAAAACUACAGCAAUGGUUUUUCCAAAGGAAAAAAAAUCUCUAAACUUGGAAGAGAAAUUACUGUGUUUUCUCCCCCUGUGAUGAGGAGACAUCCAGAUUUUGAGUUAAAAUGGCAUAGUUGGUGAGAAACUUUAUAUAAUUUUAUUUGUUUGGGAAGCUGGUUAUUCCACCAACCAAAUAAUAUCUGAAAUGUUCCUCUCUAUCCAAUGAGCUGUUCCCUGACAUGAGGAUUUUUGACAAAGUCUGUCGUAGGCUGUGUCUCCUUGACUGGUAACAAAUUAGUCCUUGUCAAACACAAGCAAGUUAAUAAUUCCAUUUCUUUGAAGUCUGUUUUAGAGAAACCACUAUGAAAUCCAGAAAAAAAACAGCAAUACAGCUGUCUGUGCCUUGAAUGAAAAUUACAUGAAUGGACUUUGUAUUUCAAGGAACCAGUCAUUGAAACUGCAAAACUUACUUUGAGAUGAAUUUUUUGUGCCAAAAGCAGAAGACUUUUUUUAAACUGAAUCUUUUGUUAUCUGUCUCAGAAAUUUCAUAGCCAUGUUAAAGAUCUUUAAAUAACCAUUGAAUACUUCUGUUCUACCAGCAAAGUAAUUUUGAAUUUGUGAUUGUCAAAGGCAUUUAGACAAUGUAGACCCACUGAUUGCCCCAUAAAGGAAUUUGUGGGGAGAGAGAUUCUCAGUUCUGAAUUUGAAAUCCUUCCAUUUAAAUCACAGCAAUAAAAAGGGAGCUCACGAGCUGCA